UAGGGAAUCUUCCGCAAUGGGCGAAAGCCUGACGGAGCAACGCCGCGUGAGUGAUGAAGGUCUUCGGAUCGUAAAACUCUGUUAUUAGGGAAGAACAAAUGUGUAAGUAACUAUGCACGUCUUGACGGUACCUAACCAGAAAGCCACGGCUAACUACGUGCCAGCAGCCGCGGUAAUACGUAGGUGGCAAGCGUUAUCCGGAAUUAUUGGGCGUAAAGCGCGCGUAGGCGGUUUUUUAAGUCUGAUGUGAAAGCCCACGGCUCAACCGUGGAGGGUCAUUGGAAACUGGAAAACUUGAGUGCAGAAGAGGAAAGUGGAAUUCCAGGUGUAGCGGUGAAAUGCGCAGAGAUAUGGAGGAACACCAGUGGCGAAGGCGACUUUCUGGUCUGUAACUGACGCUAAUGUGCGAAAGCGUGGGGAUCAAACAGG
rnacentral:rRNA from 1 species